rnacentral:misc_RNA from 1 species
AGAGAGAGAGAGAGAGAGAUUGUGCUCAAUGAUAAAGGACACUUUACACUUUACACUUGUGUGCAGACAAGAGAAGAUAGGCCUCUAAAUUUUUAUUAUUGAAAUGGAACAAAGAGAGAUGGACCUGUCACAUUAAGGAAAAGAGAGCCCAAGGAUCUCUUAUUACUAGGCAUAGUGUAUGUUAACAUACAAUAAAAUGACUGUGAAGGACCAAGACUUCAAACAAUUCUGUGACACAAGAAGAAAGGACCACGCUGCUAGCCAGUGAACUCAUGAUGAUUUGUUUACAAAAAGCUAAGAACUCAUGUAACAUUUGGGAUCACAAGAGAUUUCAUUCCAUCCCAUUCAGAAUGCAGUUUAUGUGAUGGAUAUAACAUUAGCACACCUAAUAUGUGCACCAAAUUGCCCACAAUAAUACAUGGUACAAUAAAUUCUGUAGCAAAAAAUGCAGUAGGUUAGACUUGUAUCUCACAUGAAUUGAUCAUCACAACUAGCUUAAAAAAAACAUUGCAAGGAUAGAGGACUAUUUGACUCAAGUGAUAAAAGUAAUUGCUAAACUUGUAUUCAAGAAGCUGGAGCCAGUACUACAAAGUCCUAUAUGCCUAUAGUCCCAAUACUUAGAAAAGGACAGUUUGAGUUAGUCAAGAGUUUGUCACGCCUAUAGCUUUUACAUAUAGGCAUGGGAUCUUGAGUAGUAAUUUCACGCCAAUAAUUCUACACAUGAUGUUAAAAUACCCAUGCUGCAUCUAGAAUAUAUAAAGGGUGAAAGUUCCUCAAUCAGCAUAGGAUGUAUUUGGGAAUUUAGGGAUUUGGCAAAAAUUAAAAUGGUAAGAAUGCAGACUACAUGCACCUGGACAAAAACAAGAUUCUGCUCCACUACUCAGAGAAAAUCCCAUUAUUGCAUUCCACAAUUAAUGUCUUUAAUCCAAAUUGCAAAAAAUAAAAUAAAAUAAA